GUCCAUGCGGAGUGAUGAACGGCGCGUUGGACUUCUAAUCCGAAGGUCGUGGGCUCGAAUCCCACCUGGGAUG